rnacentral:rRNA from 1 species
UACAGAGGUCUCAAGCGUUGUUCGGAUUCAUUGGGCGUAAAGGGUGCGUAGGCGGCGCGGUAAGUCGGGUGUGAAAUCUUGGAGCUUAACUCCGAAACUGCAUUCGAUACUGCCGUGCUUGAGGACUGGAGAGGAGAGUGGAAUUCCUGGUGUAGCGGUGAAAUGCGCAGAUAUCAGGAAGAACACCCGUGGCUAAGGCGGCUCUCUAGUACGGUACUGACGCUGAGACGCGAAAGCGUGGGGAGCGAACAGG